CGCACGGGUGCGUAACGCGUAACCAACCUGCCCACCACUGGGGGAUAGCCCGCCGAAAGGCGGAUUAAUACCGCAUAAGGCUGUGGCCCGGCAUCGGGCAGCAGCUAAAGAUUUAUUGGUGGUGGAUGGGGUUGCGUGCCAUUAGCUGGUUGGCGGGGUAACGGCCCACCAAGGCGACGAUGGCUAGGGGAGCUGAGAGGCUGGUCCCCCACACGGGCACUGAGAUACGGGCCCG
rnacentral:rRNA from 1 species